rnacentral:rRNA from 1 species
AUACGGAGGGGGCUAGCGUUGUUCGGAAUUACUGGGCGUAAAGCGCGCGUAGGCGGACUGGAAAGUUGGGGGUGAAAUCCCGGGGCUCAACCUCGGAACUGCCUUCAAAACUAUCAGUCUGGAGUUCGAGAGAGGUGAGUGGAAUUCCGAGUGUAGAGGUGAAAUUCGUAGAUAUUCGGAGGAACACCAGUGGCGAAGGCGGCUCACUGGCUCGAUACUGACGCUGAGGUGCGAAAGCGUGGGGAGCAAACAGGAUUAGAUGCCCUGGUAGUCCACGCCCUAAACGAUGAAUGCCAGUCGUCGGCAAGCAUGCUUGUCGGUGACACACCUAACGGAUUAAGCAUUCCGCCUGGGGAGUACGGUCGCAAGAUUAAA